rnacentral:tRNA from 1 species
UCCCUUGUAGCUCAGUCGGUAAAGUGUCUGCCUGCAAUGCAGGAGACCCAUAUUUGAUUUUUGGGUUGGGAA